AGUCUUUGCCAGUGGGAAGUGUGGUGCUUCAAGUCAAAGCCACUGAUGCAGAUGCGACUCCAGAAUUCAAUACUAUAUACUACAACAUACACCCACCCUCAGAUACAUUUGACGUGACAACUGACGGUUCAGUGAUAUUGACUAAACAACUGAACUAUGCUGUGACUACUUCAUACCGUUUCAGCGUGACAGCCAUGGAUAUUGGACAUCUCUUUGAUGCUACAACUGUCAUUAUCAGUGUAACCGGUGAAAUAGAGGACAAUGAAGUUGUGCAAAUAUACAUCAACAAGCACCCUAACCAAGUACUGAAACAGGUUCAUGACAC